GACGAACGCUGGCGGCGUGCUUAACACAUGCAAGUCGAACGGAAAGGCCCUGCUUUGGUGUGGUGCUCGAGUGGCGAACGGGUGAGUAACGCGUGAGUAACCUGCCCUUUACUUUGGGAUAACUACAGGAAACGGUAGCUAAUACCGGAUAGGAGUUCCUGCUGCAUGGUGGUGGUUGGAAAGUUUCGGCGGUUGGGGAUGGAGGCGCGGCUGAGGAGUUUGUGGGUGGGGGAGUGGCUUACCAAGGCUUUGACGGCUAGCCGGCCUGAGAGGGUGAUCGGCCCCAUUGGGCCGGAGGACGGGCCCAGACUCCACCGGGGGGAAGAAGUGGGGAAUAUUGCAAAAUGGGCGGAAGCCUGAUGCAGAAACGCCGGGUCCGGGAUGCCGGCUUUCGGGUUGUAACCCGCUUUAGCCUGUGACGAAGCGUGAGUGACGGUAAUGGGUAAAGAAGCACCGGCUAACUACGUG
rnacentral:rRNA from 1 species